rnacentral:snRNA from 1 species
UUUGAACCCAUGCAUUUUGGCUAAGAUAAAGUGUAAUAUUUGUUCUUAUCAGUUUAAUAUCUAAUAUGUGGACCAUAUGUUCACUUUGAUAUUAAAUUUAUUUUUAUAGAUGUCAAAUAUGACUGUGUGUUUUAAUGGCGCGCGGGUAUUGUACCAGUGUAU